UUACAAGUAGAAUUUAAUUAAACAUUCCAUAAGCUUUUGCCGAUCGGUUAGGCACUUUAUACAAUACAAUGUAACACUUCAAUAUAAAUCCUCUUUCUUGAGAGUUGGUUCUUACUUUAUGUUAGGAUAAAAGUAGCCACACAGAAAAGUGGUGUUUGAGGUUUGGUGCAGUGUGAGAGGUUUUGUGUGGUGUCAGGUUUUGUGCAGUGUGUGAGGGAUUGUGCAGUGUGUGAAGUUUUGUGCAGUGUGCAGUGUGUGAGGUUCUGUGAGGUUCUGUUCUGUGCGGUGUGUGAGGUUCUGUGCGGUGUGUGAGGUUCUGUGUGGUGUGUGAGGUUCUGUGUUCUGUGUGGUGUGUGAGGUUCUGUGUGGUGUGUGAGGUUCUGUGUGGUGUGUGUAGUGUUGGGUUGUUACCUAUCCACAAGCAUCUUUCCAUUCAACCACUUCCAGACGCCUUCCUCAUCCACGUCUCUCAGUCCGAUCC